UUCUUGUUCGUAUAACGGUCAGUAUGCUCGCUUGUCAUUCAUUGCGCGGGAGAUCGGGGUUCGAUUCCCCGACAGGAAG
rnacentral:tRNA from 1 species